UUGAGAAAAUGAACGGGAUGUUCCUAAA
rnacentral:piRNA from 2 species